GAAAUGCGAUAAGUAAUGUGAAUUGCAGAAUUCAGUGAAUCAUCGAAUCUUUGAACGCACAUUGCGCCCGCCAGUAUUCUGGCGGGCAUGCCUGUCCGAGCGUCAUUUCAACCAUCAAGCCCCCGGGCUUGUGUUGGGGACCUGCGGCUGUCCGCAGGCCCUGAAAACCAGUGGCGGGCUCGCUGUCACACCGAGCGUAGUAGCAAUCACCUCGCUCAGGGCGUGCUGCGGGUUCCGGUCGUUAAACAGCCUUACAAAACCCAAGGUUGACCUCGGAUCAGGUAGGAAGACCCGCUGAACUUAAGC
rnacentral:misc_RNA from 1 species